UUGGUCAAUGGGGGCAACCCUGAACCAGCCAAGUCGCGUGAAGGAUGAAGGUCUUAUGGAUUGUAAACUUCUUUUACACGGGAAUAAAGUGGGGGACGUGUCCCCCUUUGCAUGUACCGUGUGAAUAAGGAUCGGCUAACUCCGUGCGAGCAGCCGCGGUAAUACGGAGGAUCCGAGCGUUAUCCGGAUUUAUUGGGUUUAAAGGGUGCGCAGGCGGGAUGUUAAGUCGGCGGGGAAAUUUUGCAGCUCAACUGUAAAAGUGCCUUCGAUACUGGCCUCCUUGAAUGUGGAUGAAGUAGGCGGAAUUUGUGGUGUAGCGGUGAAAUGCUUAGAUAUCACGAGGAACUACGAUUGCGCAGGCAGCUUACUAAGCCACAACUGACGCUCAUGCACGAAGGCGUGGGGAUCAAACAG
rnacentral:rRNA from 1 species